rnacentral:rRNA from 1 species
UACGUAGGGUGCGAGCGUUAAUCGGGAUUACUGGGCGUAAAGCGUGAGCAGGCGGUUCGGCAAGUCCGUUGUGAAAGCCCCGGGCUCAACCCGGGGAGGCCAAUGGAUACUGCCGGACUUGAAUACGGGAGAGGUUACUGGAAUUCCUGGUGUAGCGGUGAAAUGCGUAGAUAUCAGGAGGAACACCGAAGGCGAAAGCAGGUAACUGGACCGUUAUUGACGCUGAGUCACGAAAGCCGGGGGAGCAAACAGG